AACAGUGACACAGAGAUCUCCAGCAUCACCCCAACCACCAAGACCCAUUCCUAGAGUCCUCAGCUGGCACCAGGGACAUUUCUCAAGGUGGAUGUGACCAUCAUAGGGGCAUCAGGUGCACCCUGCCGCUGCCAUGACUCACCAACUCAGACACACAGGAUGCUCAAGGGGAAAAGAAAUCUCAUGGCAAGUGAUACCCAGAACUGCCAAGCCACCACAAGUUUUGACUCUGGAUUCAGCAACAUUUGGAGAUUCUACCCUGCACUUCUGCUUCUAAAAGUAAUCAUCUGAAAAUGGCAGCUCACUCCUCCAGAUCCUGUCUGCCUCAACUCCAGUGUCCUGGCAGAGCUGAUUUCCGACCCUCCCAGCCCUGGUGCAGUCACAAGUUCCCCUGUACACCCAGAUGCACUACCUGCAGCUGCACGCAGCCCUGCUUGUCCCAGUUGUCAGCCCAAGGCUCUUAGUGCUGUCAAGGCUGCAGCGUGCAAACCCAAAACCUCGUCAUGAGUCAGAGCCUAGAACGACUCACUAGUGCUGGCAGCUGUUCAGGCAGGUUUUCCCAGCAAAUUCGGUAAUUUUGCUCCAGCAAGAGGCUGGCGAAUUCAGGGUGCUAACAGCCAGUGCCAGGUUAGCCAGCAGGAUGGACAAUGCAGUGCCCCUCUCACCAAAACCCCAAGCUGUCUGAGCCUUCUCUGGACCUAGACACAGGGGCUGUAGGGGUUGGCAUGGCUGGGAGCUGCCCUGGUACCUCUCCACGGGCAAUGCCUGCCCUUGGGAUGUGCUGCACUGACACAGAUGCAGUGACGUGGGGUAGCUGGACCUGUCCUCACAUGAGCCCAUCACAACCCUGUGCCCUGCUCCUUGCUGGUCCUAAAUCCUCACCUUCUCCUUGCAUGGUGAGAAGACACUGUUCACCCUCAUUUUAUCAGAGAGCCAAGCUGAGGGAGAGGCAGAGGCUGCCUUGCCCUUGGCAGGGUUGCACCACAGGACUGGGGAGCUGAGCUGCUCCCAGAGCCUUCACUGCAGCUGUGACAAAACUCACUGGCAAUUUUUCCCCCAUCCAAGAUAACAUAUGUGAGCAGAGGAAUAUCUCCCCCACACAGCAGUCUGCAGACAGUGGUUAUCAGUGUCCAUUUCAUCACCCACCUCGGGUUCCAGUACCUCCCUGGACUGCAGCUGCUGCACCACAUCCAGCCCUCUCCCAGCUCAGGAUACCACUCCAUCCCACUGGAACUGGGCCAGGGCCGUGCUGAUGCGCUCACAAGCCAUGUGCGGCACCCACCAUGGUCCCACACAACCCGCACGACCAGUCCAGCACCUCCUGCUCCUAUGGGCCAGCAGCCAGGCGCCCCACAGCUCCACCAGCAACAUCUCCAGUGAGUCAGAGAGGAGCCUGGCACCGCCACGCUUGCGGGUGGACAAAGUCUUUCUCGAGUCGGUUCCCUGCACCGAUUCCUUUUCCCGUCAGCACGGCCUUUGGAUCCACUGGGAGAGCCCAUGCUGCAGUUGGCCAGGCCACUGCCCGCCUGGCACAGAAACGCCUCUGGGACAAGGGCAGCAACACAGCAAAGUCCUCCAGGACUUGGCUCCAUGCUCUGCUUUCCACCAACACCCAGGUGGAGAUAAAGUCACAUCCUCCAAAGAUGCCACCAGCCUAGAAAGCACCAGCAAGCACACUGGCAGUCCGAGGAGGAGGCAGGAUGGUUCCUUCUGCCUCCAACAGGUUUCCUAGCUGGACAAACCCCAAGGUCCAGUGACAGGCUCCUGUCAUUGCUCAUCCUGGCCAGAAACCUGACCCCAGCUGGACUUUGCCUGCCAUGAGAUGGCCUGGGAAGUCUGAAUGGAAAGAGAUGGGAAGCAAGGGCUGGGGCAGGGAUGAGAGGAACUCAGGGCUGGAGCUGCCAGCGGGGUUUAGAGCUGCGGGUUUAUCAAACACAGUGUCAUCCCCCCCCCUCCCUGGAAUAUAAAGGGAGUGAAACAGAAGCCGUGUGGGAGAUAAGGCGGCAGCACCCAGCAGCUCAUAUGGAAUUACUGCAGUGACCUUGACCAAGAGUGGCCAGAACUUCUAUGCCGCCCACCUGCCCUCUGCUACCAGUCUCCUCCCUGGAAGAUGCCAGCAUAGGAUAUUCUUCCAUUGUGUCCUUCUUAAUCAAACCAAGCAUGGAUCUCAGCCUCAGAGAGUGACUCACCAAGUCAUCAAUUGCUCCACGCCACAGCUGGAGGCUGAGAAAAUGGUCAAGAUCAGAAGGGAGACAGCGCAGCAACUGCCACCUUGUUUGACCCUGUGCUCAGAAGUGAAGGCACCUUAUAGCUGACAGCUGCCCUGUGCAACUAAACCAACAAAACAGCUCCCAUUGUCUAAAUAUCUGUGCAAGGGGAUGCUAAAUUGCUUUCCUCAUGUUAGAGGCCUCCAAGAUCUCAAUGGUUUGCAAAUCAACAGGCUCUCAGGAACCCAUAAAUAUUACUGUUAAACUAGGUCUGCUCUUCAACAUGACACAUGUUUGUAAAUCUACCUGCUCUGUGUUUACCAAGAGGAACCUGCAUCCUUCUAAUCUAGAAGCAACUCAAAGCUGUUGAUAUGUUUACAGUCUGAAAGCCUGGGCAAAGAACAGAGAGACUGUAUGAGGGAGGAGACACUUAUCUGAGUAAAAGGGUACAGAAAAUACCCAAAGGUUUCAUAAAUACAGACUGGAAUAGUCUUGCCAGAAAUAAUCUUGUACACUCUCCAAAAUUGCAUGCAUUUAAUAUUCUAAACUUAUCUCCAGGAAAAAAAAAAAAGGCAUUUGGGUCCUAGACAGCUGCUACAAUUAAGCUAUAAAAAAACAGAGUGUAAAGAUGACUUCUAGACCUUCUAUAAUUAUGUGCACUCUGAAUCACAACACUUGGAAGAGUGCUUGCUAAGGCUGUUGAUCACACAAUGUUUUCACAAGCUUUUCCUUGCAAAGGUA